rnacentral:rRNA from 1 species
CGGCGUGGAUUAGGCAUGCAAGUCGAACGAGAAACUUCCNCAUUCGGNUGGANGAGUAUAGUGGCGAAUGGGUGAGUAACGCGUAGGAAUCUACCCUUUUGAUUGGGAUAGCCUCGGGAAACUGAGGGUAAUACCGAAUGAGUCCCCGAUUU